UACGGGGGAGCAAGCGUUGUUCGGAUUUACUGGCGUAAAGGGCGCGUAGGCGGCUGCAACAAGAUCAGCUUGUCGAAAUCUCCGGGCUUAACCCGGAGCGGCCAAGUGAUACGUGUCGUGCUUAGAGUGCGGAAAGGGGCUACUGGAAUUCUCGGUGUAGCAGUGAAAUGCGUAGAUAUCGAGAGGAACACCUGGCGGCGAAGGCGACUACCUGGCCUGUUCUUGACGCUGGAGGCGACGGAAAGCUAGGGGAGCAAACGGG
rnacentral:rRNA from 1 species